AACGAACGCUGGCGGCAUGCCUAACACAUGCAAGUCGAACGAGACCUUCGGGUCUAGUGGCGCACGGGUGCGUAACGCGUGGGAACCUGCCCUUAGGUUCGGAAUAACUCCCCGAAAGGGGUGCUAAUACCGGAUAAUGUCUUCGGACCAAAGAUUUAUCGCCUUUGGAUGGGCCCGCGUUGGAUUAGCUAGUUGGUAGGGUAAAAGCCUACCAAGGCGACGAUCCAUAGCUGGUCUGAGAGGAUGAUCAGCCACACUGGGACUGAGACACGGCCCAGACUCCUACGGGAGGCAGCAGUGGGGAAUAUUGGAGAUGGGCGAAAGCCUGAUCCAGCAACGCCGCGUGAGUGAUGAAGGCCUUAGGGUUGUAAAGCUCUUUUACCCGGGAUGAUAAUGACAGUACCGGGAGAAUAAGCUCCGGCUAACUCCGUG
rnacentral:rRNA from 1 species